UUUUUUUUUGAGGGCGGAGACAGUCUCACUGUGUAGCUCAGGCCAGUGUAGUGCAUGCUGGUGCUGAAUGUGUGCUCCUCCCACCCGGCCCUCAUGAGUUCUGGAGCUAUGAGCAUGUGCUACCACUGCUGCUGGUGGUAAGAAGGAACACCCUAAAUUUGGACCCUGACCCUUGGAAUCUCCUAAGUGAGAGUCCUGGAGAACCCAACAGAACAAUCUCCAGAAAGGCCACGCCUUGAUCAGAAGCGUAGAAGUUUUAGCCAUCCCCUACCUCUGGGGAAGAGAAGCCGGAAAUGGAUUACUAACUAAUAACCAGUGAUUUAAUCAACUGCACUUACAUGACAUCGGUGUCAAUUUCCUCUGAGGAUCAGAUGCAAAGGUUUUGGGUUGGUGCAUAUCCUGGGGCAUUAGGAGCAUGGUGUGUCUAGAGCAGCCCUGCAAACUCCACAUCCCACCCAUACCUUUCUCCCUCCCAUUUGACUCUUCUUGUGUCCAUUAUAAAAAGUGGUUGAAUGUAAAUAAAGUGUUUUCUUAA